rnacentral:tRNA from 1 species
CAUCACUUGGAACAGCGGGUUGUGGCUCAGGCUGCGCUCAGGUUGCAGCGCCACCACCAGUUGUUCAAACGGCAAGUCUUGG